rnacentral:misc_RNA from 1 species
GAUGAAGAACGCAGCGAAAUGCGAUACUUGGUGUGAAUUGCAGAAUCCCGUGAACCAUCGAGUCUUUGAACGCAAGUUGCGCCCGAAGCCAUUAGGCCGAGGGCACGCCUGCCUGGGUGUCACACGUCGUUGCCCCCCCAUCUACUCCUUCGGGAUUGCGGGGGGCGGAUGAUGGCCUCCCGUGCGCCUCGUCGCGCGGUUGGCAUAAAUGCCAAGUCCUCGGCGACGCACGCCACGACAAUCGGUGGUUGCGAAACCUCGGUUGCCCGUCGUGUGCGGUCGUCGCGCAUCGAGGGCUCGAAAAAAUUGCCGGGCUCCGGCUCGGCUUUCAACGCGACCCCAGGUCAGGCGGGGUUACCCGCUGAAUUUAAGCAUAUCAAUAAGCGGAGGAA